rnacentral:rRNA from 1 species
GACAGAGGGUGCAAGCGUUGUUCGGAAUCAUUGGGCGUAAAGGGCGCGUAGGUGGCUGUAUAAGUCAGAUGUGAAAUCCUAGAGCUCAACUCUAGAAGUGCAUCUGAUACUGUAUAGCUUGAGUCUCAGAGAGGAUGGAGGAAUUCCCAGUGUAGAGGUGAAAUUCGUAGAUAUUGGGAGGAACAUCGGUGGCGAAGGCGUCCAUCUGGAUGAAGACUGACACUGAGGCGCGAAAGCGUGGGGAGCAAACAGG